AACGAACGCUGGCGGCAUGCCUAACACAUGCAAGUCGAACGAUACCUUCGGGCCUAGUGGCGCACGGGUGCGUAACGCGUGGGGACCUGCCCUUGGGUUCGGAAUAACUCGCCGAAAGGCGUGCUAAUACCGGAUCAUGUCUUCGGUCCAAAGAUUUAUCGCCUUUGGAUGGGCCCGCGUUGGAUUAGCUAGUUGGUAGGGUAAAGGCCUACCAAGGCGACGAUCCAUAGCUGGUCUGAGAGGAUGAUCAGCCACACUGGGACUGAGACACGGCCCAGACUCCGACGGGAGGAAGAAGGGGGGAAUAUGGGACAAUGGGCGAAAGCCGGAUCCAGAAAUGCCGUGUAGGUGAUGAAGGCGUUAGGGUGGUAAAGCUCUUUUACCCGGGAUGUUAAGAACAGAACCGGGGAAAAAGGCCCGGCUAACCUCGGU
rnacentral:rRNA from 1 species